CCUACCGGGAGGGCAGCAGUGGGGGAAGUCUUGCGCAAUGGGCGAAAGCCUGACGCAGCCAUGCCGCGUGAAUGAUGAAGGUCUUAGGAUUGUAAAAUUCUUUUCACCGGGGACGAUAAUGACGGUACCCGGAGAAGAAGCCCCGGCUAACUUCGUGCCAGCAGCCGCGGUAAUACGAAGGGGGGCUAGCGUUGCUCGGAAUUACUGGGCGUAAAGGGAGCGUAGGCGGAUAGUUUAGUCAGAGGUGAAAGCCCAGGGCUCAACCUUGGAAUUGCCUUUGAUACUGGCUAUCUUGAGUAUGGGAGAGGUUAGCGGAACUCCGAGUGUAGAGGUGAAAUUCGUAGAUAUUCGGAAGAACACCAGUGGCGAAGGCGGCUAACUGGCCCAUUACUGACGCUGAGGCUCGAAAGCGUGGGGAGCAAACAGGAUUAGAUACCCGGGGUAGUCCACGCCGUAAACGAUGAGUGCUAGUUGUCGGCAUGCANGCAUGUCGGUGACGCGAGCUACGACAUAAGUACACUCCGUCCGUCGGGUAGGUACGGUCGCGAAGAAGUUAAACGUAACAAAGUAAGUAAGUUAGUUACGGACGUGAGACGUAGCCGACGGCGACGACGAGGGAGGAGG
rnacentral:rRNA from 1 species